ensembl:lncRNA
CAUGGCAACAGGUGAAGUCCGCUCCCUGAUUGGCUGCGUGUCCUGGGAUCACCCUGUUGCCGUUCACAGGCAGAAGUGCUGAGUGGACCCUCCUUUUUAAAGCCCCCCCCCCCCCUCCACUUCAUGGCCUCCUAUUAUUUAGCUGAUUUGUUUUCGCGUCCCGACUGAACCUUCUAGUGCGAGAGGACGAACCUGCGGCCGGAUCAUAUAUGUGCCUCUGCAGGGACGCCGGGGGCACAAGCUAACAAAUGUGUGGGGUCAAUUGGUAAGAACCUGAUCUGUGUGCUGGUGUUGCGUGUGCAGAGGCUCGGCAGGUGUGGAGGUAGAGUACUGCUAAGUUGUGCGGAGGUGACGGAGAGCUGGGACGUGGAGCGACUCCAAGUGUUCCACUUUUAAAACCUUUCACCCCCUCGAUGUAUUUCAGAGCCUCGCGCAUGAGAACGUGGACUCCCGAUGAAUUUAAGGUUUCCCAAGGGGACGCUACUGAGAAGCUGGCUCACCAAGUCGCGGCCCAGGUUGCUGCUGCUGAUCGCAGGGUUGAAGAGGCCUCAGGUGACCCUCAUGAGGAGGAAAAGGAUGAAGCGCACAAAAGUAGCAAAGGCCACGUAAGCGGUAAAUAUGGCUUAUGUUGCACGGAGGAAUGCUGAACGUCGACGUCAACGAAAACAGAACCUGCAGCCGAAUGCCCCACUUCCCCUGAGUCCUUGACAAGGAGCAUCUUCUCGUUAGAUAUGGAAGAGAAGGAAAAGGAAAACCCGUGUGUACGAUCUUUGCCCCAGCAACGAACUAAAAUCCAGGAUCCACAGAACCGAGGGAAGACGGAGACCAAGCCACAGAGAUCCAGACCUCCAGAUUAAUCAGGAUUACACCAGACCUGGACUGCCAGCUUCUUCAAAUACACGUGUUUUGGCUCAUGUCCAUCACUCCUGUCCAACGAGAAACUGUUGGUAUUACAGCCCAUCUGUCCGUGUCCUUAGUUCAGACUCUUGUCAGUUUUCCAGGUUGAUGUGUUUGAGUCUCAGGCGACAAAUCUGACGGGACGCCAACUUCUGUCUCACAUCUUUCUGUCAGCUCAAAACUUCUCGAGCGGUCGAAGCUUCACACGACAAACACCAAGAAAUGUGAACGUUACAACGUUCAACCUUCAAAAUAAUUGCUCAUAAAUCAUCUGUUGUGGGAUUUGCCCUCGCAGGCUGUGACGGAGUAAAUGAGACAUUCCUACACUCAAUCUUCUGGGUUGUUGUUUUUUCUUUUCAUUAAGUGGGUAGAACACGUUUUGCAAUAAAAAUCUUAAUUUUCGUCACAAUCAGUUGGUACAUUAUCGUACAUUAUCGUUGCCAAGUGACGGUGAAAUUUGCUUCAGGUGCGUCGCAAAGUCGUCACUGACUGAUAAUGUCUAUUUACAGACUGAUGGAAAUGAGAGUUUGUGAUGUGUUGCUAUGUCGCAGUUACUCACAAAUGGCAGUUUGCCAAAAAUAUCCUUUCGCUAGCAGCUGAGAAUAGUCUAGUUGGCCGAGGAGGUCGUGAACUUGCCAAACUUGUACUAAUGGUGUGCGCCUAAAAGCGAUAGUUUGAUUUGUUUGACUCAUCAUACAGCGGAAAGAAAUACAAAAACAAAAUGGAAACAAUUUUUUUUUCUUUUGACCAAAUUGAGCUUCAUCUCAUUUUGUUGUUUUAGUUAAAUUAACUUUCAACUCUGCAGAUAAAUUGACACUAACGCUCAAAACGCACACGCAACAAUAUUUUUUCGUAUUGUUAGCAUAGCUAAACCUCAUGGGUCUUUUUCUUUACAAGUAUUUUGAAUUUCUCUAGAUUCCCACAGAUGUAUGUUUGGUUAUGUGAUAUCAGUUCGCAACUUGUCUCGGUUUGUAUGGUGGAAAAAUCUAAAUCCCACCUUGUGCUCCGCAGACUUUUAAAUAAAGCACAGGGAGCUCCAACCCUCCGUCACAGGUAUUGAUCUUCUGCGAAAUGUCGAAACAUUUCAGUAAACACAUUUAUCCUCAAAAAGAAAAAUUCUUAAUUUUGACCUUUGGCGUCGAUUUGCAGUGAACUUAGCUUUUAUAUCUGUUGAUGAGCUACAGAGCAGCAUCUCAAAAAGAAUUCUUCUAAAAACAUCUGUUUGAUUUGAAAAUUCCCCAUCGAGUGUCGUGUUCCCCUCAUUCAGCAAGUUCCCAAAGAUAGACGGAGCUACACAAUUCUGUCAGAGACGUAACUGUGGAAGCUUUUUUUGGUUUUCACGUUAGAAUGGGAGAAUAUUGUCAACUACAGUUAUGUUAGCAUUAGCAUGACAGAACGGAAUAUGAACUCUAACGUUCUAAUAGGUGAGCUCACUAGCUAAAAUAAGCUAACAAAAUCUGAAUACAUUUUGAAACAGCCCUGAACUGUCAUAACACAUCAUUUACCAAAGUAAUGAAACAGCCUGCCAGAUACUGGACCGAAGCGUUUGUUUUACAUAUCAUAUUUCUCAGUUUUAUUAAUUGUAAAUUGUUGUUAAUGUGGUGUUAAGAAAGCUCAAUAGCAUGUUAUGAGUUAGCUUGAUGCUAAUGGCUAUAAAGAGAAACCGUUGCAGUCAGCUAGCUGGGUCUCUUUUUAUAUCUAUAGAGGCGAUAAAGAAGCUAAAGAGCUGCAGUUUUUCUCAAAAUACACGAAAUAGAUGAAACGUCCGUUAGAGACACAACUUGUGAACGCGUUUUAGCUUUUUCACGUUAUAAUGGGAAAAUAUAAAACAUGUUUGAACAGAAUAUGAAGGUUCUAAGUGACCUCACCUGCUAACACGAGCCAACACAAUCUGAGCACAUCUCAUGAAACACCAGCGUGAACCGAUCAAACUCACGGUCAGUGAACAGCCGACGAGUGAGUUUCCGCUUCACUCGUUCCGUUGACGUUUCUAAACUUCCACACGUCGUGUUAUUUCUCAGGAGUUAGUGUUGAGGAAGCUCAAUGACAGUUAGCUUGAUGCUAAUAGCUUCAUAGGGAUGCUGAUGCUAGCAGCUAGCUAGUCUAUUGCUGCCUCAUACUGUGAUUAUCUUAGCGGUAGCUAACAUGCUAAUACGCAGCCAAACGCAUAUGUUAGCAUUUGAUUCAGGCCGCGUGUGAAACGACUGUCCACUUCUUUUCUGUGACUCUGUAUUCAAGUUCGUUUGGCUCCAGUGAAACGUUGAAAAGAGCCUUUACGGAUGGUUUGAUAAUGAAAUGUAUAUUUUUGAUUUGAUUCUCUAUGAUCUGACUUGUUGCUUCUAGUUGAACCAUUUAAUGCAUUUGAAUAAAUUACUACUUUAGCUUUUGUGCUGACAAAAAUAAUCAUAAUAAAAAUAAUCAGCAUCAGAUUUAAAGCCUUGGAACUUUUCUUUGAAUCUAACAUUUUAAAAGAUGAAAACUAUUGUCAAAAGUUUGUCAUUCAUCCCCUUAAAAACAUGUCAUAUACACAAACAACAUUGAAUAGAGGGCAGCAACUUUCUGAUUAUUAUUGAAUCUAUAUAAAAUCAUAAUAACGCCUGUUGUAACUUCCCAGAGUAUAAGAAGAUCUGAUGAUCUUCAGAUGAACAUUUCUUUCAAACGAAGACUUCAAAAUGCAGUUUUUUAGUUAACUAUCACAUUCAUUGAAAAUAUUCAAUUAUUUAAUCAACUUUCAAUUAACUUUGUCUAAAUGUAUUGGCUAAUCUUUGCAGAUGUAAUUAAAUGUGUAAUAAUUAUAUAAUAUAGUAUAUUCAACACUGGUUAUGGCUGUAGUGGCAGUAGUGGUGGUAUUGUGGUAAAAGUAGAGCCAGUAUGUCACAAUAGUAAUAUUGUAAUUGUAUAUUCAUACACUGUUUUUCUGAAAAGCCACAGGAACCUUGUUAAGACAGAAAUCAUGUCACACUUCACCUACCAUUGGUUUAACGAUCUGAACCCGUUAGCAGAUGAUGUGACAGAAAUUUGAAACUGUAAUCCCACAUCUAUUAAUUAGCUUGUUCAUUAUAUUUUACAAUUUCAUAAAUUAACAUCAUUUACAUGUUAUUGCUUCACAGUAAUUUACAAAGUCAAUUUUCCAGGACUGACUCACAUCCUGAAUCAGAUAAUUACACCUUCAGCUUCCUGAGACGUCUGGAGAGUGAACGUCGUCGUCGGUCGAUUCUCUC